AUUGAACGCUGGCGGCAGGCUUAACACAUGCAAGUCGAGCGGGGAAAGGUAGCUUGCUACCUGACCUAGCGGCGGACGGGUGAGUAAUGCUUAGGAAUCUGCCUAUUAGUGGGGGACAACGUUCCGAAAGGAGCGCUAAUACCGCAUACGUCCUACGGGGGAAAGCAGGGGAUCUUCGGACCUUGCGCUAAUAGAUGAGCCUAAGUCGGAUUAGCUAGUUGGUGGGGUAAAGGCCUACCAAGGCGACGAUCUGUAGCGGGUCUGAGGGGAUGAUCCGCCACACUGGGACUGAGACAAGGCCCAGACUCCUACGGGAGGCAGCAGUGGGGAAUAUUGGACAAUGGGCGCAAGCCUGAUCCAGCCAUGCCGCGUGUGUGAAGAAGGCCUUUUGGUUGUAAAGCACUUUAAGCGAGGAGGAGGCUCCUUUAGUUAAUACCUAAAGUGAGUGGACGUUACUCGCAGAAUAAGCACCGGCUAACUCUGUGCCAGCCGCCGCGGUAAAAC
rnacentral:rRNA from 1 species